UCAAGUGAGAGGUCUAAUUCUCAAGACAAUUCUAGUGGCAGUUUUGGCUCUAAAGGUGAAGAAGAUGCUACCUCCUCAGACUAAGUUGUGGUGUUGAUGGUCCCCAUAUUAUAAUGAUGUGUGUUCUGGAUGUUGCUUGGAUGCUUGGAUGAUUUGAUGUUUUUCUGUUUGAUGUUUGUAGUUUUUUUUUUGAAGUCCUUUUUGAUGCCAUGAUGUAAUAUUUGGGCUCUUUAUGAGUUCUCUGGAUUUCUGAUUAUCUCAACUCAUGUAG
rnacentral:lncRNA from 1 species